GCUCCGGCUCCUGCGGGGAUGGAUGCUUCACGCAGUAAGCGACCUAAGUCGCGGAAGCGUAGACACCCGGCUUUUCCCGCGUGCUCUAUCGGGCUCCCCUGGACACGGAGGGUGGAGCAGAAAGAGCAGAGGGGCCGGUGGGAGCCAUGGGGAGUCCGCCUAGCUCCAGAGAAGGGGCUGUCCGAAAUAGAGACUGCUCCUUCAGCCUGGACCCAACUGCGAAGAAGCCACAUGGAACAGAGCUGCAGCUAACCUGAAGUCUGUGUGAACUGAGUGCAAGAGACAAAUGUUUGCCACUGGAAAUCACGGAGAUCUGGGGAUCAUUUGUUACUGCAGCCUCUAGCAGAAGCUGACUGAUACACAGAGGGAAUUGGGUGCUGGGUGGGUGGAAACAGUAUAUAUGCCCCAGAGAGGCCAACUCCAAAAGCUGUGUGAAUUCAGAGAGAAACACCCAUGGCUUAAGGCUUGAAACAAGAGGCAGGAGGUUGGGGGAUAUUGGUUUUUGGUGAACUUACUGGGCUUGCUGAGGCAGAGCAACACCUGUUUCUCUGGGCCAUUACUACAAAGGUCAGAUUGCGAGUCUUGUCCUAGAUUCAGCCUUCUUUGAGAGUUUUCCUUAAGACACAGUUUGAGCAGAUUACUUUCUUGCUUAGAAUCCCUCAGUAGGUCCCCACUGCCCCAGGAUAAAGUCUAGACCCCCAAGCACGUCCUGCACGGCCUUGCUGACAUGUCUGAGUCUGGGCAUUGUACUAGUGAGCCACAAAGUGUGCAGGUCCUGGUGCCCACCCCAUCUCCACUGCUGCCCAGGGCGCAAAUCCACAUCACCCCUUAGCUGGACUAGGGCUAGUGCCUCCUAACUGGAAGGAUUCCACUCAGCUCCCUUCUAAUCCACCGUCCACCCAGCCACUUCUCAAAUGUAAACCCAGUCUUGUUGCCAUCCUACUGUCACGUAUACAAUAAAAUCCAAACUCAUUCUGGA
ensembl:lncRNA novel transcript